AGCAGUGUGAGGAGCGAACCAAAAAGAGAGCCAAGACGAAACAUGGAAAGUCGUUGGCUCUCUUUCUGAU
rnacentral:sRNA from 1 species